AAUGAAAAUCUCUACAGCUUAUGUCCCUCCCCCCUUUUCAAGAACAGAAAAACCCCCAAAUCCCUAUUUCAUUCUUAUCCCCAUUUUCUCUCUCACAAAUUUCAACAACGGACAAGAUUUGCAGCGACGUUCGCCACCACCGUGACAAAUCUCGUUGACCACAACGUCCGCCGUUCACCGACGCGAGGCAGAGCUCCACCUUAUUUUCUCUCACUUUGGCUCUCUCAUUACUCCCCAUCACCUUCUCCGCUGUGUCUCGGCAACAAAUGCUAUAUUGAAAAUUUUGGCCGAUUAACUGCUAAUUCGCAGUUCGAUUGCUGCUUCACAAGUGUUAGAUUGUUGAAAAUAGGAUUUAUGAAACCGAAUGGGGAAUUUCAAUGGUAAUUGUCGAACUUUUUUUUAAUGGCGGUCAAUUCCUGUGAGGAGGUAUAGAUGACUGGCAAGAGUUGGAAUGUCCUUAUUGUGGAGUGGUUGCAAUAAUACACAUCACUUUUAAAUAUGUUAUUAUUGUUAUGGAAAUAUGACUAGUCUUUAUUAGCAGCGCAACCUUUUUGGUAAUGGAAGAUUAUGUGCACUUAAUAUAUCUAUGCAUAAAUCUGAUAAAAUUUCUAAUCUCAUGUUGCUUCAUUUAUAAUAUUGCGUAUCUAUGCCAGUGACAUUGAAUCAGAAUGGAUAGCGGAGGAUGAGCUUGGUGUAUACAUCACCAUCAGACAGCUUCUUGAUGGCACUAGAGAGCUUCGGCAUGUCAAAUUCAGCCGUGAAAAAUUUGGAGAGGUGCAUGCCAAGCAUUGGUGGGAAACUAACAGGGACAGGAUACAAACUCAGUGUCUUUGCUAUAUUACGGAUCAUAUUAAAUCAUAUCUCCUAACCAUGAUUAUCUGUAGUUUAUUAUUUAUAUGUUUAAAGAUGGUUUACUUUGGUGAAUACACAAUGAGUAAUGUAGUCAGACCUACUUCAUGCCUUAGAUAAUGAUUUUAGAGAAUGUAUAUGUAUCAUGACUGAUAUUAUUUUAAUUUUUGUGCAGCACACUCGGUCAGGGGGCAGUAAGCAUCUCAGGGAAGUCUUGUUUUCUAUAGCAGUAGCCAUUUUGGGACUCCUCUUAUUUGCUCUGCUCAUUGGUAAUAUGCAAGUAUAUAUCUAAGCUCCUCUUAUUUUACUCUUAUAUUCUCAUGCUGGAGCCGGAAGAUGCAACAAUAUAUCUGAUUUGAUUAUUUAAAACUUUCUUGAUCUUCAUAUUUGUCACAAGGUUCCUCUUGUUGAUAAGUUUUAGGUUCUUCUUGGUUUCUUUGGGUACUCAGCGGUGCUAUAUAUGCAUUUUGUAACAUCCAUCAUUCAAGAAAUAACAACAGCUCUGGGAAUUUACUGCUUCAGGAUAACUAGAAAAGAAGCUUAAGCUGUGACUGCUGCACGAUUUUCGCUGUGCCUGCUUGUAUCUUGAGGUAUCAACAAAUCAUUUUGGGACUCUCUCUUAUUUGCUUCCAAUUUGAAGGUGAAAGCUAAUGACUAUUUGGAUUGAUGAGAAGCUGAAUAGCUUUAAAAGUGGAGCCUAGAGGUUCCAUUCUAAGACAGUUGGUACCACAGAGAAACCUAUUUUAAAAUAGUUGAUAUAAUAUACACCAUGUAAUAAAUUUUUUACUCAUGGUUGAGUUCCUUCACCAGAAUAUUCCUCGGUGAUAUUUGAAAUUUCAGAUUUGAAAUAAAGCAUUGUUAUAUUGGGAUUGAUCUCA